CACCUCUCACCAAGAUGCACCCAGAGCCUAUCAGGGAAGAAUGAGCCUAUUUCUAAGACAACACUCAGGUUGUCAGAGAUGCGGUAAGUUCUUUUGCUUCCCAGAGUGGUGAGCACACCACAGGCACUCAACGAACAUUUGCUCAAUGUUCCUCAAGUCCCAAAUAAAUGCACCUCUGCUGCCUUGUUCAAAUCCAAGACCCCAUCAGGUGACUGGCUCAGUAGCUGAAUGAACUUCUUGUGACUGUCGGGGUGUCACAUGACCAAAGCUGGGUGAACAAAGGCCAACUCCAGGAAUUUUUCUGGAACUCAUGGCAAGAAGAGGCUGUGCCUUCCCAGGAAGGUUGAUAAGCUGGUAGCUGGAAGCCACCUGAGAAUGGAGCCUCCACAGGGGAAAGCAGAGUGGAGAAAUGGAGAGAAAGGGGUCUGAGGCCAUCCAUCAAAACUCUGGAUCAGGUCAUACACUGAGAGCAACAGUUGGUCUUCCCCAGACUUUUCAGUUACAUUAGCCAAUAAAAUCUCCUUUUUGUGCUUAAAGCUUAAAGCACUUUGAGUUGGGAACCUGAAAGUCUGGUGUUGCAAGUGUCAGCCUGUGGAAUUGGCUGAGUCAAGAUGGGCUGUGGUGCAAUGGGGAGCUGGCAAGGCUUGUUAAAGAGUGACAGAGUGUGUUGGCCACUUCUUGUGGUCUUCAGGAAAUUAUUACUGAUAGAGACCAGCUUUAUCUAAGGCUUACCUAAAAGCAGAGAAGAAGAAAACAGCUUAGUAGCUUAGUUAUGGAGGCUUUUUUCUCUCGGUAGAAAGCAAUCCAAGAAGAUAUAAAGCUGUAUUCUCUGCCCAUGCUAAAGUCCACAGAAGGAAGGCAAAAUGGGGAAAGGGUUUGGGACCCAGAACUCUUGGGCCCCUAAGGCUGUAUUCUCCUUGAACCCUCACAAUAAAGAACCAUCCACUGGCCGGCUGCCUGGGCAUAUUAGUUUUGCCUCCCAAUCCCAGGCUAUUAUUUCAAAUUGCUUUGAGGCAAAGGCCUAUAGAAGCAGAAAGCUGUAGGCUGGGGAAACUCCAGAGGUGUGUUGCUAAGAAACUGGGAUCUAACUUCAAGGACCAGGACUAGUCAGGAUAUGUGACUGGUUACCAAGCACUAAACCACAGAGCUGACCAAAUCUAAAUACUAUGUAGAAAAUCUACUGAAUUUUAAAGGCACUUCUGUCAGAGAAUCCCUAAGUCCAGAAAGCAAAGGCCUAUGAUAUCUCAGUCUCUAAGGGAAUCAAUCGCUAUGCUUAUAAAUUUAUACCAAAAAGAAAUGAGCUGUGAAAGAAGGGCAGCCCCAGAAAAUCCUCCCAGAGGGUAGAUAGUGGGGAGGCCAUAUUGGCUCCAUCAGGUCUCCAAGUGCCUGCUAUUCCUGUUGAGAAGGACAUGACGUGCCACGAGAGGUGACCACUGUGUGCCGUUUCCCCUUUUCCAGAUAGAUGUUUCUGCUGGGUUAUCUUGUGAUCUUUCCUCCACUGUUUAGUGAACGGAGGCUGAACUAGACUUGAGAAGACCACACAGCACCUGCAGGUCCUAGAUCUGAGGAUGGGCACGAUAACUGGACUGUCUUUUGGGGAAGGGCUAAAAACUUUGAUUAUGAUAGAGCAGCAUCACUUUACUGGUUACCGUAGCGAAUUCAAGCACACAUGCUUGGUAAACAAACAAAAAGCCAGAUGGGAAGAUUUAAACAGUGCAGGUAGUCUCUGCCUACAGCCCUUUGCCCUGGGCUGAGCACAAACGCAGAAGAAAAUCUCCUCUCUUGGUCAUCUCAAUUUUUGUUUGCUCUUAGUGUGAAUGUCUUGCUGAACUGAGAGUUAUUCUGUUUAUAAGCAGAUCUUCAUAUUACAUGGCCCCCACCAGUGAAGUAACUAAUCUAUCUGGUGCUCAGCAGAAGGCCCGGCCAUGUGGUCCUAAGCAGGAGUAAAGCCUGGACAUGAGACAUGCUAUGAAGAUCACCUACGAGGCGUCUUCCUGAGGUAUUAUCAAGGGUAGUUUUACUAGAAACGAAGUAUGUGCUAACUUAGAUCCUCAGCCCCAGCUAAGACGCCAUGCCUCUGUAAUGAAGCACUCUUACGCAUGUCUGAAAACGUAUAUACGAAAAGAACAGGAAUAACUGUCAGGCAGCCAAGCAGUGGGCUGUGGGGAACAUCUAUCGUUUCUGCCUGCCUGGCAUUUGUCAUCCCUAUUUUUUCCUUUGCAGCAGGAACUUCCCCGCAGUUCUUAGUUCAGGUGGUUUCUUUGUCCAAUCCUGAAAACAAAAGGCAUGACAUUGCUCAACAUCUUAGGCUGACCCUUCCCAUCAAGGUGACAGAGGUGAGUUCCGUAAUCUGGGUCCACCAAUCAGUGUAUUCCAGUCCCUGGCUAACGUGACUGGUUUAGGGAUGGGCUCAUGCCCAAAGCAGGAUGAAUCAGUCAAGGCUGGGAUUUUUGUUAGAAGCUACUGGGAAAGUACUGGGUUCUUUUCACCGGGAAUUAUGAACCUGGAGCUACCUGGGAACUGAGCCAACAUAGAAGAAAGUAGAGUCAAGAGCUGGAGGGAGACUGUCCUGAUGCCUUCAAGCAAGGUGCCAGAUAUGGCCAUGCCCAAAGGCAGAUCUACCCAAGACUUUCAUUUGUGUGAGCCAACAGAUUCCCUUUUUGGGUAGAAGACAAGUGAAUUAGAUUACUCCCACUUGCUACCACCUGAGUCCUGACAGGUAUGGCCUUUUAGUCUUAACUAUAACAGAAUUAACAUUUGAGUGCUUACAAUAUAUCCUGGACCGUGUUAAUUGCUUUCCACUCGAUUACGAUAUCUCAUUUUCACAACAACCCCAUAAGGUAGUUGUUAUUAUUAUUUCCUAUUUUACAGGAGAAAAUGGAGGUUUUCAGCACUUAAAUAACUUUUCCAAAAUCCCACAGUCAAUAAAUACGCCUACACUGAAGUCCAUGCUUAUAACCACUCCAUAAAAUGAUUGCGAAAAAUUGCCAUAUAAAAAUACUUGAAAAGUUACAUUAUAUUGAUACCAUCUUAUUUUAUGAUAAACUUAAACAGUUUUAUUUUAUUCAGAAAAUUUUUAAAAACUUUUCCUUUACAUAAUAAAUGCAUAUGGUAAUUCAAACACCACAAAGGAGUAUACAUGGAAAGCAAAUCUUUCUCCCACGCCUGAUCCCCAGUUCCCUUCCUCAAAGGCAGCACCAUGAAGUUACUUCAACAUCCUUUUAGACAGUCUAUGUAAAUGCAAGCACAUAUAUAGAUAUACACCACACCUUAUAAAAAAUCUUCACAUAAAUGGUAGCAAAGCACAUACUACUCUAUUAAUAAUACAUCUCGGAGUUUGAUCCCUAUCAGUACACACAGAAUGAUCUUAUUUUUCAUAGCUGCAGAAUACUGUAUUAAUUAAUAUACCAUGACUUGUUUACCAAAUCAGACACCUACGAAUGGACAUUCAACACUCCUCUACUGUAACCAUUUUUCCCAAUAAAGAGUCAUGAUAGCCUUGGGGGGUGGGAUGACUAGACCCAGCUUGCACUGAGGCAGAGAAGUUAAGGAUUACCUAAAGUCUCAGCUAAUAAGUCACAGAACCCAGGUCUGUUCAAAGAGUUUGUCAGUGACCAUGACUUCCCUGGACUGACGGAGAUAUCCCUCUUCUGCUGUCACAGCAACUUCUGGGCUGCCAGUGCAGCAUGAUUUUACCAUCAUAACACAUAUACACUCCAGGUUUCCUUGCUGGACCAUGAACUCAGGUCUUAAGCAGCUCAGUUUCCCCACAGCCUUGCAUAUGGCACGCACUCGGUCAAAUUUACUUAUUUAUUUUCAACGAACCAAGGAAUAAAUCCCCAAAGUCUCUUGAUAGGUAAAUCACAAAGUUCCAACAUUAUCAGCCUUUAAAGGGGAUGUUUAAAGAUAUAUAUGUGUGUAUAUAUAUAAGUGUCUGUGUACACAUAAGUUUGUACUUGUAUAUGUAUAUGCUGGAGAUUAAUCUCUACAUAUUUGGAAAUAUUUUAAAAAAAUAUAAAGGGGAAAAAUUAAAGUUGCAGAAAGAUUUGUAUAAUAUGAUCUCAUAGGGGCAAAAAAUUGUAGGCCUCACUAUAAAAUUUUCCAUGUAUCCAUGGAGGAAAAAAGUCUGGAAAGAUCCACAUCAAAUGUUAGUGGAGGUUAUCUCUGAGAAGUAAAAUUAAAUGUGGGGUAAUGACUUCAUGUUUAUAGUUCUGUAAUAUUUGAUUGGAUUUUACAAAGUCAUGUGUCUAUAUACACAUUAAUUUAUAUCUUUCAAACUAGCAAUUCCACUUCUUAGAGUAUAUUCUGAGAACCACGGUGUUCCUAGGGUUUAUCUAUUAAAAACAGCACAGCCAGUUUCUUGAAUUUUUAUAUUUUCCCACAUAUGUCCAACAUAAAUGCCUAAUCUCAGAAGAAAAAUUCAGUAAGUUAUUGUACAUUUAUAGAAUGGGGUGUUAUGCAAUUAAUAAUGAUGUACAAUACGUAAGUUAAGAAAACAAGCAAGUAUAAAUAGUAAAAUUGUACUUUUGUGAGGAAACUAUAUGCAUAGAAAGAAAGUAUCUAAGGAUAUAUACCAAAUAAAGUUUAAGAGUAUUAACCUUUGGUGGUAGGAUUAUGGUGAUCUUAUUUUCUUCUCCUUAGCCUUUUCUAUUUCUAAAUCAUUUUGAAAUGAGCAUGUUUUUCUUGCAUAAAAGGAAAAACAAAAGUCAUUUCCAUUUGGGGUUAAACAAAUGAAGUCUGGUGGUUUACACCCAUUCAGUGUGUUUGAUUUGAACUUACGGGGAUGGGUUCAAAACAGAAAUGAGAUCUGCUACCAGCACGGGCAUCCCAGCUUCACGGUGGGAAGGGAAGUGGUGUUCUCAUCUACCAUCCAACUGAACCACAGGAAAAAACUGAAUCAAGAAAAAGGCAUGGCCUGCUGUAGGUUAGCAAACUGUGAACACUAAAAUAAACUCCUUUACUCCAGUUAAUGCGAGAUCUGGGUGAUGGAAAGAACAAGAUACACGAUACAUUUUGUCUCAAAGCCAAAGAAGAGACAGGACAUUUUGAACAGAGGAAGAAGGGAAAUAGAAGAAAAUGGAAGUUAAAUUAAAAGAAUGAGGACCAGAUUAAGCACAUUAAUGAAAUAACCCAAAGGAGGGAACCUCCAGCUUGAGACCACACUGCAGCUGAACCUCACUUGGAUUCUGGCCGUUAGGUCAGUGGGUUAGGGCACGAGGAUUUUAAGAACAGAAUACCUAGUUUCCAGUUGUGCCUAUAUAUUAACUGAAUCUGGUUAACCACUUUAAAAUCCAUUCAAACAUUUAUUAAGUGCCUGCUGUGUACCAGGACCUGCAGAUGAUUAUAACAGUGAUACAGUGGGCCCCGCUAUAAAAGAAGGUACAGGCCCACAAAUAACAGAAAAUGCAUGAUAAAUACUGCAACGCGUCCAUGGCUGGGGGCAGGAGGGCAGGAAGGAGGGCUGGAUGGAGAGGUGGGUGGAAAUCUGGACAGACUGGUUAGAAGUGGUGGAAUGAACCAAGUCCUGGAAGGCAAAUGGGGUCUGCCCUGCAGAGAAGAGAGUGGGAGUCGGGGAACUUGAGUGAGCUGUCCAGGCACAGGCAGAAGCACAGAGACUUGGAAGGGCGUUGGUUUGGAAGUGCUGGUGGGUAGCAAAGGGCUUUGGGUGCAGGGGAUGAAGGGGCCAGAUCACAGUCCCUUACAUGCCAGGCUAAUAACCACACUCCCACGUCAACCUCAUUGACAUGAGGUUACCUAAGACGAAGAGCUCUAAGAUCUUCUCUGGCUUUUUUCAGCCAGAGGUCAGUUCAGAAACUAACAAGGGCAGUGUCUCUAGGAGCUAUGAGGUGAGAAACCUAAUCAGAAACCAAAUUAUCUCAGAGAACUGGUGAGCUGAACAGGCAUGCAGGAAGCCCUGACGGAGGCGUGUGGCAACAGGAGUAGUAUGUGUACAUCUUAUCUUGGUGAGAUUUCCCCUUAAAUCCCACCUCCCCGCCACCAGCAGGUGGUGAGCAGAACAUCUCCCUCUUCUCUCUCAGAUGUGUCCCUCUCCAAGCCCGCCUCACGCUCCAGCUAGAUUCCCCCAUCAUUUCUCAUCGGAUUACUAGAAUGGACUCCAAACUUGGCCAUUUUUUCUUCUUUUGAUUUUUAAUCUACAGUCCUAGGGUAUUUUAACUUCACUGUAACUUGUAUUUGUGGACCAGUUUGGGCAUCUAACCACAUGCAUAUAAAUAUAUAAAUGUUUCCAAAGGAAAAGGAAUCUCAAACUGACUCAGAACUUUUGGAAUAGAAGCCAUUUACUUAUGAACUGGUGAGACUGCCUUCCUUUCUACAAACAUUUAUUUUGUUUUUAAGAACAAUUUAAGACAAUUUAAAAAUAAAUAGAUGCACAUGGUUUUUAAAAAUCCACUAGCUCAGAGAACUUAUAGCCACCUCCGCAGGGGAACCAAUUUUACUAUUUCUCCUGGCAAUCACCUCUGCAUCUCUAAGUAAAAUAAGCGUACACAGCUAUUUGUUGGUUUAGCCAUUCUAGUUAUUAUGUAGACUUCCUUCAGUGAUACCACACCCACCCUUCUUCCUCCUUUUCUCCCAAUAGUUAUAUCAUUACUUUUGUUUAAAAACCGGUGCUAUGCAUUUUGACUAUAUAAAUAUUCUUCCCGCAGAGUCAAAUAGUAUACUGAGAUUGCAUCUCCUUUCUUGUGAAGCUCAUCUGUUUCCUUUGGAAUUUCCAGUUGUCUUUCCUGAUCGCUGGCACCAUUUGCCUUCACCACAUCCUAAACUUUUGCCAACUCUCCAUCAUAUCAGAUAUUCUACCAAGUCCCCACUUUUUUUCCUUCCUGAAGCUCUUGGACCUCCUGCUAUCUAGGCCCUAGACCGACUGUUCUCCAGGCCUGUUGUACGGCUGCCACUCUGCAAUUUUCCCUCACUGCAUCCCGUGUUGAAGCCUGAGGUGGACAUUUGUCAUUUUAUUUGACUGCCCAGUCUCUGAACUCCCCCUACUAUGGUUAGGAACUUCCCCACUUUGUCAGUCUUGGUGGGAGGGACAGCCACCUUCCUACCAUAAAAUCUGGACCCCCAGUGCUCUUUCCCAGCUUCCCUGGAACCUAGACUAGAGCUGUUACCUAGACUGGGACGGGCAGACACACUCACCCUGGAUUUGGCAUCUGGAGCUUCUCCUGCAAAGAAGCAGACCAGUGGUGACAGCCAUGGGAGCCUGGAAGAAGUGACUACUAUUGUUGGACUUGUUCUGUGGUUUGAUGUCUUAGCUGUGGUUCUGGCUAUUGAUCCUUCCUUGUUCUUGCCUGUUCUCCAAGCCUGGUUCUCUAAGCUUCCUGACAAUUCAGUGGGUUAUCUAACACCCUUUCAAUAAAUUCCUUUUCUGCUUAAGUUGGCCAGAGUUGGUUUCUGUUGCUUGCAACACAGUCAGUUUCCUGUUUUCCAUUGUCAAUCAGUUGUUUCCCUGGAACACAGCCGAACGGUAGUAUAGAAGAGAAAACUUGAGUCUUAUUUAUCUGAAUGUGUAUUUCACCCUCACACUUGAUAGUUCGACUAAGUAAAGAAUUAAAGGCAGAAGAUCACUUGCCCUCAAACUCUGAAGGCACUGCUCCACUGGGUUUUAUUCUGUGUUGAUGGUGAGAAACCUGUUGCCACUGAUUCUCAUUCCUUUGAAGCUAUUGGAUUUUGAACCCUUCUGAAAGCUUCCAGGCCUGUCUUAACAUUUAUUGUAAAAUUUCGUAACAUGUAUUCAGGUGUGCAUCUUUUCUAACUCACUGUGGGAGGAACUCAUGUGCUCCUAGAAACUACACGAUUGGCCUCCAGCUAUGAGAAAUAUGUGUAUUGUAAGUCAUUCCCUCUAUUGUCUCUGUCUAAUCUUUCUGGAAUUCCUAUUCCUCUUGGAUUGACCCUUUAAAGCUCUUAUUUUCCAUCUCUUUGUUUUUUCUUUUUC